rnacentral:lncRNA from 1 species
GUGAUCAUUUACUACUGAUGCUGCUUUUCAGCCAAUCAGAUUCAUUGGUGUUAAGUUACAGCAGGGGAAUUAAACAGGUAAGUACAACAACAGAUGAAUAUUUCCUGGUUGCCAUUUUCAAAGACAGAUGCCUGCAAAGAAAUCCAGCAAAAAAAGCAUAUUCUGUGGAUAUUCACACUAGUUUCGAAGCUGGUGCCCACAGAGACCCUUACCUGGUGUGUCCCAGUCUAGAGUCCUACGAUGAAGCGCUCUGCCUCAGAAAUGAGUCCCCCUAGGAAGUGUAAGGAGGGGGAAACUUCCUCCAAAAUGAGUCAAAAGAGAUUCCAGCAGGAGAGAACAGAUUCACCUGAACCCAGCUGUGUGUCCAUGGAGAGUGACGAGUCAAUGGAUAAACCACUCAACUUUAAACAAGGACAGAAUACAACAGAUACAAGGUGCUUUAAAGUGAAGAUACGGCUGUUGCAUUCUUCAUGUUUAUGUCUGACCUUUCCAGUGCUAUUUCACCCAUAUUUCUCUAUAUUUAUUCUAAUACUUAAUUAACAGUGAUCCACUGACGGCAUGCGACUCAGUGCAUCAACAAGAAGUUUUCUCAAGCAUUUUUAAGGUAGGGUGUCUGAUGAUUGAAAUAUAUGUUCUUG